CGGGUGAGUAACACGUAUCCAGCCUGCCGUCUACUCUUGGACAGCCUUCUGAAAGGAAGAUUAAUACAAGAUGGCAUCAUGAGUUCACAUGUUCACAUGAUUAAAGGUAUUCCGGUAGACGAUGGGGAUGCGUUCCAUUAGAUAGUAGGCGGGGUAACGGCCCACCUAGUCAACGAUGGAUAGGGGUUCUGAGAGGAAGGUCCCCCACAUUGGAACUGAGACACGGUCCAA
rnacentral:rRNA from 1 species